CCUCCUACCUUAAGGUAGGCCCACUGCUGAAUACCCUCAAUCGAAAGGUCAAGGAGAUUAUAUAACCCCAUAGUAUGAAGAGCUGCUCGGGGGAUCGCACCCCUUGGCCUAGGGUAUACAUUCAGAUCUGGAGGCAUACCUAAUUAACGAUAAGAGCAGAGAUCUCCUCUCUCCUUCGGACCCUCUACCUCUACUUCCCUU
rnacentral:lncRNA from 1 species